GACGAACGCUGGCGGCGUGCUUAACACAUGCAAGUCGAGCGGUAAGGCCCUUCGGGGUACACGAGCGGCGAACGGGUGAGUAACACGUGGGUGAUCUGCCUCGCACUUCGGGAUAAGCCUGGGAAACUGGGUCUAAUACCGGAUAUGACCACGGAUCGCAUGGUUUGUGGUGGAAAGGUUUACUGGUGCGAGAUGGGCCCGCGGCCUAUCAGCUUGUUGGUGGGGUAAUGGCCUACCAAGGCGACGACGGGUAGCCGGCCUGAGAGGGCGACCGGCCACACUGGGACUGAGACACGGCCCAGACUCCUACGGGAGGCAGCAGUGGGGAAUAUUGCACAAUGGGCGAAAGCCUGAUGCAGCGACGCCGCGUGAGGGAUGACGGCCUUCGGGUUGUAAACCUCUUUCGACAGGGACGAAGCGCAAGUGACGGUACCUGUAGAAGAAGCACCGGCCAACUACGUG
rnacentral:rRNA from 1 species